GACGAACGCUGGCGGCGUGCUUAACACAUGCAAGUCGAACGGAAAGGCCCUGCUUUUGUGGGGUGCUCGAGUGGCGAACGGGUGAGUAACACGUGAGUAACCUGCCCUUGACUUUGGGAUAACUUCAGGAAACUGGGGCUAAUACCGGAUAGGAGCUCCUGCUGCAUGGUGGGGGUUGGAAAGUUUCGGCGGUUGGGGAUGGACUCGCGGCUUAUCAGCUUGCUGGUGGGGUAGUGGCUUACCAAGGCUUUGACGGGUAGCCGGCCUGAGAGGGUGACCGGCCACAUUGGGACUGAGAUACGGCCCAGACUCCUACGGGAGGCAGCAGUGGGGAAUAUUGCACAAUGGGCGGAAGCCUGAUGCAGCAACGCCGCGUGCGGGAUGACGGCCUUCGGGUUGUAAACCGCUUUCGCCUGUGACGAAGCGUGAGUGACGGUAAUGGGUAAAGAAGCACCGGCUAACUACGUGCCAGCAGCCGCGGUGAUACGUAGGGUGCGAGCGUUGUCCGGAUUUAUUGGGCGUAAAGGGCUCGUAGGUGGUUGAUCGCGUCGGAAGUGUAAUCUUGGGGCUUAACCCUGAGCGUGCUUUCGAUACGGGUUGACUUGAGGAAGGUAGGGGAGAAUGGAAUUCCUGGUGGAGCGGUGGAAUGCGCAGAUAUCAGGGGGAACACCAGUGGCGAAGGCGGUUCUCUGGGCCUUUCCUGACGCUGAGGAGCGAAAGCGUGGGGAGCGAACAGGCUUAGAUACCCUGGUAGUCCACGCUGUAAACGGUGGGUACUAGGUGUGGGGUCCAUUCCACGGGUUCCGUGCCGUAGCUAACGCUUUAAGUACCCCGCCUGGGGAGUACGGCCGCAAGGCUAAAACUCAAAGGAAUUGACGGGGCCCCGCACAAGCGGCGGAGCAUGCGGAUUAAUUCGAUGCGACGCGUAGAACCUUACCUGGGUUUGACAUGGAUCGGGAGUGCUCAGAGAUGGGUGUGCCUCUUUUGGGGUCGGUUCACAGGUGGUGCAUGGCUGUCGUCAGCUCGUGUCGUGAGAUGUUGGGUUAAGUCCCGCAACGAGCGCAACCCUUGUUCACUGUUGCCAGCACGUUAUGGUGGGGACUCAGUGGAGACCGCCGGGGUCAACUCGGAGGAAGGUGGGGAUGACGUCAAGUCAUCAUGCCCCUUAUGUCCAGGGCUUCACGCAUGCUACAAUGGCUGGUACAGAGAGUGGCGAGCCUGUGAGGGUGAGCGAAUCUCGGAAAGCCGGUCUCAGUUCGGAUUGGGGUCUGCAACUCGACCUCAUGAAGUCGGAGUCGCUAGUAAUCGCAGAUCAGCAACGCUGCGGUGAAUACGUUCCCGGG
rnacentral:rRNA from 1 species